rnacentral:misc_RNA from 1 species
AAGUCGUAACAAGGUAUCCGUAGGUGAACCUGCGGAUGGAUCAUUACUAUAUUUUGUUUGUGGUGACUUGCAUUCACUUGCAUUUCAUUCACUCUCAACAUUAAUUAUUGUGAACUGUCUGGUUUCCAGCGAUAAACGUUCGCGUCUGUCAAUGGGGCCACUUUUUUACAUUAAAACUACAAUAUUCAACCAUAAUCUAGAAAUCUUAAAACUUUUAGCAACGGAUCUCUAGGCUCUC